CCUACGGUGUGCAGCAGUUAGGAAUAUUGGUCAAUGGCCGGAAGGCUGAACCAGCCAUGCCGCGUGAAGGUCAGUACCCUAUGGGCGUUAAACUUCUUUUGUGCGGGAGCAAUCAUGGUCACGUGUGGCCAGACGAGAGUACCGUACGAAUAAGCAUCAGCUAACUCCGUGCCAGCAGCCGCGGUAAUACGGGGGAUGCAAGCGUUAUCCGGAUUUAUUGGGUUUAAAGGGUGCGUAGGCUGUGAGGUAAGUCAGCGGUGAAAUGCCCCCGCUCAACGGGGUGACGGUCCAUUGAUACUGCCUUGCUGGAAUGCGGAUGCCGUGGGAGGAAUGUGUGGUGUAGGGGUGAAAUGCAUAGAGAUCACACAGAACACCGAUUGCGAAGGCAUCGAACGAAUCCGCGAUUGACGCUGAUGCACGAAAGCGUGGGUAUCAAACAGGAUUAGAUACCCCUGUAGUC
rnacentral:rRNA from 1 species